UCGAGCGAACGGACGAGAAGCUUGCUUCUCUGAUGUUAGCGGCGGACGGGUGAGUAACACGUGGAUAACCUACCUAUAAGACUGGGAUAACUUCGGGAAACCGGAGCUAAUACCGGAUAAUAUUUUGAACCGCAUGGUUCAAAAGUGAAAGACGGUCUUGCUGUCACUUAUAGAUGGAUCCGCGCUGCAUUAGCUAGUUGGUAAGGUAACGGCUUACCAAGGCAACGAUGCAUAGCCGACCUGAGAGGGUGAUCGGCCACACUGGAACUGAGACACGGUCCAGACUCCUACGGGAGGCAGCAGUAGGGAAUCUUCCGCAAUGGGCGAAAGCCUGACGGAGCAACGCCGCGUGAGUGAUGAAGGUCUUCGGAUCGUAAAACUCUGUUAUUAGGGAAGAACAUAUGUGUAAGUAACUGUACACAUCUUGACGGUACCUAAUCAGAAAGCCACGGCUAACUACGUGCCAGCAGCCGCGGUAAUACGUAGGUGGCAAGCGUUAUCCGGAAUGAUUGGGCGUAAAGCGCGCGUAGGCGGUUUUUUAAGUCUGAUGUGAAAGCCCACGGCUCAACCGUGGAGGGUCAUUGGAAACUGGAAAACUUGAGUGCAGAAGAGGAAAGUGGAAUUCCAUGUGUAGCGGUGAAAUGCGCAGAGAUAUGGAGGAACACCAGUGGCGAAGGCGACUUUCUGGUCUGUAACUGACGCUGAUGUGCGAAAGCGUGGGGAUC
rnacentral:rRNA from 1 species